UUCCUCUCUGCCUGCCUCCUCGCCAUCCCCUGGACCAAUCGCGCAGGCGCUGGUGCUGCCUGAUGCCGUGAUGCCAUGCUCCUACAAUUCGUAGAUGGAAGAGCGAUUCAUGUCCUCAGCUAGGUUGAUGAUGUUGAACUGAUGAUUCUUAUGUAUUCAGAUGAGAUUAUUAACGCCAUGAAAUUUGAAAAAAAAUUUGAAAAAACUGAGUGAAAUGGCUAAAUUUGAAGGAACAAUUCAUUGUUGCGGUGCUAAAUUGCUUAUAGAGUGUAAAUUUUGCUGGUGAUCUUUGUGCAAUUUUUGUCCUGUUCCAAACAUGACAUCUGGAAAUUAUGGAUAGCUACUAAAAGAGUGCAGACUAGACCAGGACAGCAUUGCCCAAGUGGUCCACAGCCCUUCGAAC
rnacentral:lncRNA from 1 species